CGCUCCGACAACAUCCUAUCGGUGAUAUCUGGGAUCGAGGCCUUGAUGAGCGCGUACCGCGUUUUUCCCUGAAGGAGUGUCUGGAUGAUCGCGCCUGUCCACCGUCCGCCGAUCAGCUCGACGGCUCGGUGGAAGCGAGCGCAAACGGGUUCAGGCAAAUGGGUUCGGGGCAUUUAGAAAACUCGAGGCGUAGGGCGCUUGACACAAGCUACUUACUAAAGUAUACUA
rnacentral:misc_RNA from 1 species